GACGAACGCUGGCGGCGUGCCUAAUACAUGCAAGUCGAGCGCAGGAAGCUGACGGAACUCUUCGGAGGGAAGGCAGCGGAAUGAGCGGCGGACGGGUGAGUAACACGUAAGGAACCUGCCUCAAGGAUUGGGAUAACUCCGAGAAAUUGGAGCUAAUACCGGAUAGUUCAACGGACCGCAUGGUCCGCUGAUGAAAGGCGCUUCGGCGUCACCUUGAGAUGGCCUUGCGGUGCAUUAGCUAGUUGGUGGGGUAACGGCUGACCAAGGCGACGAUGGAUAGCCGACCUGAGAGGGUGAUCGGCCACACUGGGACUGAGACACGGCCCAGACUCCUACGGGAGGCAGCAGUAGGGAAUCUUCCACAAUGGACGAAAGUCUGAUGGAGCAACGCCGCGUGAGUGAUGAAGGUUUUCGGAUCGUAAAACUCUGUUGUAAGGGAAGAACACGUACGAGAGGAAAUGCUCGUACCUUGACGGUACCUUACGAGAAAGCCACGGCUAACUACGUGCCAGCAGCCGCGGUAAGAC
rnacentral:rRNA from 1 species